GAACCAUCCAGAACAAAGUGCCCGGGGCCUGGCCAGGGAAGGGAGCUUUGCUCUCCCCGCUGUCUGUGGACAGAGGACAAUCCCAGCUGGGGGCAGGUGGCCCCAGGUGCAGUCACGUAUGGCACAGCCGGUCCUCACACGUCCUGGGGUGGGACGUGCCAAGAGGUUUAGGAAGCAGUGGUGCCCAGGGCUUCACAGGCAGGUGAGUCACUGGGCCUGCACCGGGGACGGCGGGGUCAGACGCAGGCCGGGGCGUGUCUUGGCCGGAGCUAAGCACAGCUAUGAAUCAGG
rnacentral:lncRNA from 1 species